rnacentral:misc_RNA from 1 species
UGCAAUUAGUAGCAAUUAUUUAUGUUAUUGUUAUCUAUUAAUUUUAUAGGUACAUUGCCAUAAAAUUUAUACUGCUAAUUCUAACAUUUGUUGCAGCGAAUAGGUGAGCAUGUUCGAGAGCUUUCAAAACAGUUGUGAAAGAACUUGUGGAAUGUGGAAGAUAGUGGCCUGCAGAUACAGGAGGCGACACUCCUUCCUACAAGCUCUUAGGGUUUCUGUUGGUGAGGGUCAUCUUUUGGGGCUAUGAGGCUUAGGGCUUCUGGUGGGUUAAAGAGAUGUAGUUUGGGCUGGGUUUGCAUUUGUUGCUAGACUUCUUCCAGUUCUUUUCUGUUUAGCAGGCCUAAGCUUUUAGCUUGGGUUGUUCUUUAUGUUCUCUAUCAUUGGCUGUCGAGGCCAUAUUAUAAAAUUAGGAAUC